CACGUAGGGGGCGAGCGUUGUCCGGAUUUAUUGGGCGUAAAGAGCUCGUAGGCGGCUCAGUAAGUCAGGUGUGAAACCUCCAGGCUCAACCUGGAGACGCCACCUGAUACUGCUGUGGCUAGAGUCCGGUAGGGGAGCGUGGAAUUCCUGGUGUAGCGGUGAAAUGCGCAGAUAUCAGGAGGAACACCAGCGGCGAAGGCGGCGCUCUGGGGCCGGAACUGACGCUGAGGAAGCGAAAGCGUGGGUAGCAAACAGG
rnacentral:rRNA from 1 species